CCGUGGGGCUUCGGCCCCAUUGAGAUAGCACCCUUUGUUUAUGAGUACCCUUGUUUCCUCGGCGGGCUUGCCCGCCAUGAGGACAUUAAAAACCCUUUGUAGUAGCAGUAACUUCAGUUAAUAAUAAAUAUUAAAACUUUCAACAACGGAUCUCUUGGUUCUGGCAUCGAUGAAGAACGCAGCGAAAUGCGAUAAGUAGUGUGAAUUGCAGAAUUCAGUGAAUCAUCGAAUCUUUGAACGCACAUUGCGCCCUUCGGUAUUCCGUUGGGCAUGCCUGUUCGAGCGUCAUUUAAACCUUCAAGCUAUGCUUGGUGUUGGGUGUUUGUUCCGCCUCAGCGCGUGGACUCGCCUCAAAUUCAUUGGCAGCCGGUAUGUUGGCUUCGUGCGCAGCACAUUGCAAGCGAUUUCAGCAGACCCCCUUCCACAAGCCUUUUUUUAC
rnacentral:misc_RNA from 1 species